AAAUUUCUCUUGGGAAUAUGGUGUAUUCGCCUUGCAGAGUUUUGGGUUUCCUUCUAUCACACCAGACAACACAAAUUCCUGGAACUAAAAAUUAAAACCUACUAAUCCAGCUGGUAUUCAUUGCCCACUAUGGAGGCCAAAGGUGCCUAAACUCUUUUUAAAGAAAAAACCUUAUACAUUUCUGCAAACUCACUUUCUCCACAGAAGGCAUGUAUCUGACACACACAUAUCAAAGCUAAAGACCUAAUCUCACCUCCUGUUCACUCUCCGGUUCUGGAUGAACAGGUCCCAGGAGGAGUCCAGCUUUCUUGUCUGGGACAAGAAGCCUCUGGGUUCCAGGUUCCCGUAAAUUAACACCCUUACAGGAAGAAACUCUGAAGGAGCAGAUCCCCCUCAGGAGCCUGAAAACCAGAGGCUUCUCUGAGGACUUGAACUGGCACCUGGCAUUUCCUGAACAUACCUAUCAAACUGUCUAUUCAUGGAGCAAACUGUUUUCAGAGGACAAGCUUUCAAGUUCAUGCAGAUUUGAAGGGAGAGAUGAAGUGUAUCCCAUUCACUGGAGAAAUAACGAAUUAGACAUAUGUACACACAUUUAUCUUACAGAAGGGACACAGAGCCUAGAGAAAAAAAAACUUCCUUGAAAAGUCAGGCUAAAUUGUUCAGAUUCAAAGGAUUCUGGUUAUAGGAAAACAAAUGAAUGGAACUGGUGAAUCAAUAAAACAAAGUUGAAGCCACAGAAGAUAGAGAAGAGAGUUUUUGUUUGGUCAUUUGGGCUCUUGGAAUUGAAUUUACCACAAGAGAAAAAAAAAACAAUUCAUGAGACCAUGGUCUCCUUAGCCCACAGAGUCUCUAACAUACAUCAUUUACCCUGGGCAAUUUUUUUUUCAUAGUCCUUAUUAUUGAGAAAUGCUGCAUUUCUUCUAAUCCCUGUGAUUUACCAUACACGUAAGAGCUGUUUCCUGUUGGCUUGUCCUCAGGGAAGACAGGAAGCAGGUGGUUAUCCUCUGUGGCCCAGAAAUAUUUUAGAGCUUUUAAAGAAUCUUGAAUGCUGAUUUUGGAGAAAGUAGUAGUAGUAGUAGCUAUCAGGAGACAAUUUUUGAGGCAUAGUAUGAAAAAUCCAUUUGAACUUUGUUUUUGAAAUGCAGACCAUUUCUAAGAUCUGAAGGGGAAAACAAGAUCUUACAAAAUUGAUGAUAAGCUGGAGAAGUGCACUGAAUCUGAUGAAAUAAAGUAGACCAUCUACUAUAGGACUGAGCACAUAAUUGGACAAUAGGGCAUUAUGUGGGUGUCGGUAAUUAUUACUGAAGAACUUUUGGCACCUGAAAGAUGGAAACAGAUGAACUGAGGCUGGGAAUGAACAGAAAGAGCCCACAGAAAAUGUCUCUGUGAAUUUGCCUGGAAAGACGUCUAGGAGCAAGAUCUUUGGCUGCCAGGAUAGAGGGUCCAGAUUUGGCCAAAGACACACUGAGUGCGGUGGCAUCUGGGGAUCUGUCCUAUUGCGUAAGCUUCAUCUGAGAAUGCAAGAUGUUAAGCUGACUCCGUAGAGGAAGCAGGAAGGGACUCUUCUGCCACUUCUGGCAGCUGCACCACUCGUCAGCAGAGAGGACGUGAGAAUGACCAGCGGUCUCUGCCCCAUCCUCACCCCCACCCCGACUUAUACCUAAACCACACGGCUCCUUGAUGAUGUCUCAGCCCCAGUCCUCCCUGGUGGUUGCCUUCCUGCAGCUCUCUCAGCAUGGACACGUAGUGCCACAGCCCAUCCUGCCUGUACUGGUGCUCCAACUCCAUCUGCUUCCUUAUGCCCUCACCCCCCAGAUUUGUCUCCUGGGACUUUUGGUGCCACAACCCUCUGACACAAGCAUCAGAGCUCUAGGUCUCCUCCUCAUACCAGUGCCCUCAAUUUCUUUGCACACCUGUGUGGCUUACCCCAUCUACAUUCUGCAAGUUGCUUCCUGCUGGUCCAACAGCUGCAGAUCAGCUCAGGCCUAUGCAAACCAGCGACCUUCUCUGCCACCCAUUGGCCUGCAGUUAUGCCAGAUCCAACAAGGUCCAAAUUCUAGCCUUGGGGAGGAGGGGUUCCACUCCAAGUUUGUCUUUCGUUGGUUACUCCCCUUCAGCCCUGGGGUGUCAUGUA
ensembl:lncRNA